AACGAACGCUGGCGGCAUGCCUAACACAUGCAAGUCGAACGACGGCUUCGGCCUUAGUGGCGCACGGGUGCGUAACGCGUGGGAAUCUGCCCUUUGGUUCGGAAUAACAGCUGGAAACGGCUGCUAAUACCGGAUGAUGACGAAAGUCCAAAGAUUUAUCGCCAGAGGAUGAGCCCGCGUUGGAUUAGGUAGUUGGUGGGGUAAAGGCCUACCAAGCCGACGAUCCAUAGCUGGUCUGAGAGGAUGAGCAGCCACACUGGGACUGAGACACGGCCCAGACUCCUACGGGAGGCAGCAGUGGGGAAUAUAGGACUAUGGGCGCAAGCCUGAUCCAGCAAUGCCGCGUGAGUGAUGAAGUCCCUAGAGUUGUAAAGCUCGUUUACCCGGGAAGAUAAUGACUGUACCGGGAGAAUAAGCCCCGGCUAACUCCGUG
rnacentral:rRNA from 1 species